CCCACCCACUCAUCCACCUAUCCACUCCCUGCGCCGCCUCCUCCCACCCUGAGCAGAGCCGCCGAGGAUGAUAAACACCCAGGACAGACUUGUUGCUGUCCUGUCCAAACCGUGUCUGAAGCUCAUUUGUUCCCCACACCAGACCUUUUGUCCCCAGAUUUGGCCUUAUGGCCUCUGCCUCUCACUUGGGCCUCAUUAUUUUGCAAGCAGAUCCAUUCCCUGUAAAUCUUUCUUAAAUUGGGCCAUGUUCUAUUCAGAAUUAGACUAGUUUCUCUUAAAAGCAUUGCCUUCUUUCUUGCUUUUCUUUGCAUAGAGCCCUCUAACUGCCACUCAGGGUUCCUCUCAAACUUGGGCACUCUUCUUACUGAAAUAGGCUAUCAACUUUCCUUUCCUACUUGUUAACAGCACCAGCCUUAAAUAUUCCAACUGGGUUUUCAGCUAUUCUUGUAUUUCAGUGUUUCUUUCCCUAGCUUCACAUUUGAGAAAUCAGUCACUUGGGCCCCACCUUCAAAGAUUGGUCUUAUUGACCUACAGUGUCCUGAUUAUUAGCAUAUAGUUUUAAAGCUCCCCAGGUAAUUAUAAUACGAAGCUGGGGUUAAAAACCACUGCUUCCUUCCCGCAGCUUUUCCUAUCCUAUUCCUGUAGUGGGUGUCAGCUCUUUUUCUACUGACAAGGGCCUAAUUUUCUUGGAGGAAUUUUUUUUUUUUCUUUUUUUUUUUUGAGACAGGGUCUCACUCUGUGGCACAGGCUGGAGUGCAGUGGUGCGAUCUGGGCUCACUGCAACCUCUGCCUCCUGGACUCCAUUUCUUUAGGGAUUUCUUAGUCUUUCUCUCUCAGGUACUGUCCAGAAGUACCCAAGAUACAAUACCUGCAACAGCCUCUGAAGUUCCUGUCUCUAGUUACUUAGUUCUCAGCUAUUGGCCAUUUUCUUCCCCCAAGUCUCAGACUCUUACCCAGUGCCCCCACCCCUAUUUCUUCUUUACAUGUAGAAAGAAAAUUCAUUCCCCAUUUGAUAAUUUGUUAUGGUCUUAUUUGACCUGUUAUCCCUGCCUCCCAAGUUCUCUUUACCCUAUAGCCCAUCAGCUGUUAGAGUUUCCUUUUCCAAGAGUCUCCAUGUCCAUUCCCUCUGCAUUCCCCUCUUUCACUCCAUCUUCUGUAACCCAGCCCCUCUGGAGCUGAGGAGGUGGAGGCGGAUGUAGACUCGGAGAGUGCUGGAUGCAAAGGUGUUACGUGUGGCAAAGGCGCCGUGUGUGCUGAGGAUAGAUGGCAGGUAUGAGAGAGGGCAGGAUGAAGCACGGGUGGAGGGAAGCAGAGGGACCUACAACAAAACCCACUCAAGGGGGUAUGUGAGAUGGACUUUUUUUCCUCUUCUUUUUGUGUGUCUGUAAUGGGGGUUGGAAAGUGGGGUGGUCUCAGCAGUCAUUCUCUGGAGUCCUCUGGACUGAGCUGGUCGAAAUGCCGAGUCUUUUGCAGGCUGAGCCCUAAGAGUUGAGCAACUUGGAACCAACAUGUAAGAGUCUCCACCAACUGUGAGGUUGAAAGACCUGAGUUCUGGCUGAGCCAGUGUGCUUACAUGUGUAAAGAAGAGGGGGUUGGGUUAACUUGACUCAAAAAUUCUUUCCAGCUUCCUAAGUGGCAAAACAGGCUUGCUUGUCUCCAGGGCCCUUGCUUAGCGUGUUGGUAAUUUGAGGGGCCUGGCUGUAUGAGAGGCAGGUGGAGAGAGGAGCCAACUGGCCUGCCAGGGCCUGGGUAGGAGCUAGGCCUUGGAUCAGGCUUCUCCACUUGGCCUGGGGGUGGGGUGUUGUGUGCAGGGUGUCUGAUUUCUUUGAGUGAUGGCAAUCCCGUUUCCAUAGCAUGUUUCCUAGCUUCCUCGGGCCUGCCCCUAACUUUCUAAAAGGAAUCCUGGUAGAGUCCUAACUAGGGAUUCCGAUAAGAGCCGGAUGUUCUUCCCAGUCAGUGUUCUCGGGUGUUUCAUAUCCACAGAGCGGGGAGCUGGCUGGGUUUAGUUCCCAUUGGGUGGGGGAUGGGAUUUUCAGCUUCCCUGGCUCCAGUGAAAAACUCAGGAGGUGGAGGCUUGGUUUCCUGGAAGAAAUAGUUGCAGAGGAGCUGGCACCAUGUUUUGAAAACAAGGCUCUUCCUUUCCAGUGUUGUUCUGAUUGGUACUUCCAAAAUGUCAGAAUUCCUGAUGGUGGGGGAGGGAAGAAGAUACAAGUACAAGCACCUUUAUUACCCUUUUUGAACAUGAGGUUUAAAUCCAAGGAAAUCAAGCUUCUUGGCCUUUUUGUCCCUGGAUUUGCGGGGGCAGGGAGACAGUAUCCGUCUAGGGCUUGCUUUGUACCUGUGACAGUAUAGUAUGUAGAGAAGCACUAGCCCUGGCUUGAUAGUGAUAUUAUUAUCAAUCUGUGCUGAUGGGCUUUGAAGAGACACAUUUGGUUCUACAGGUGGUUUUUGGGGGAAAGGGGGCAGA